rnacentral:rRNA from 1 species
GACGAACGCUGGCGGCGUGCUUAACACAUGCAAGUCGAACGGAAAGGCCCUGCUUUUGUGGGGUGCUCGAGUGGCGAACGGGUGAGUAACAAGUGAGUAACCUGCCCUUGACUUUGGGAUAGCUUCAGGAAACUGGGGCUAAUACCGGAUAGGAGCUCCUGCUGCAUGGUGGGGGUUGGAAAGUUUCGGCGGUUGGGGAUGGACUCGCGGCUUAUCAGCUUGUUGGUGGGGUAGUGGCUUACCAAGGCUUUGACGGGUAGCCGGCCUGAGAGGGUGACCGGCCACAUUGGGACUGAGAUACGGCCCAGACUCCUACGGGAGGCAGCAGUGGGGAAUAUUGCACAAUGGGCGGAAGCCUGAUGCAGCAACGCCGCGUGCGGGAUGACGGCCUUCGGGUUGUAAACCGCUUUCGCCUGUGACGAAGCGUGAGUGACGGUAAUGGGUAAAGAAGCACCGGCUAACUACGUG